rnacentral:rRNA from 1 species
GAUGAACGCUGGCGGCGUGCUUAACACAUGCAAGUCGAACGAAGCACUUACGGAAGAAUCCUUCGGGAGGAAGCUGUUAGUGACUGAGUGGCGGACGGGUGAGUAACGCGUGGGUAACCUGCCUUAUACAGGGGGAUAACAGCCAGAAAUGGCUGCUAAUACCGCAUAAGCGCACAGUACCGCAUGGUAGAGUGUGAAAAACUCCGGUGGUAUAAGAUGGACCCGCGUCUGAUUAGCURGUUGGUGGGGUAACGGCCCACCAAGGCGACGAUCAGUAGCCGACUUGAGAGAGUGAUCGGCCACAUUGGGACUGAGACACGGCCCAAACUCCUACGGGAGGCAGCAGUGGGGAAUAUUGCACAAUGGGGGAAACCCUGAUGCAGCGACGCCGCGUGAGUGAAGAAGUAAUUCGUUAUGUAAAGCUCUAUCAGCAGGGAAGAUAAUGACGGUACCUGACUAAGAAGCUCCGGCUAAAUACGUGCCAGCAGCCGCGGUAAUACGUAUGGAGCAAGCGUUAUC